rnacentral:rRNA from 1 species
UACGUAGGGUCCGAGCGUUGUCCGGAAUACUGGGCGUAAAGCGUGCGCAGGCGGCUUCUUAGGCAUGACGUGAAAGCCCCGGGCUCAACCCGGGAGGGUCGUCGUGAACCGGGGGGCUUGAGGCCGGUAGAGGUGGGUGGAACUCCUGGUGGAGUGGUGAAAUGCGUAGAGAUCAGGAAGAACACCCGUGGCGAAGGCGGCCCACUGGGCCGGUACUGG